ACUGCUUCUACGACUGGGCGUAGCCUAGAGGAAACGUCAGCUGGAUCUGAAGUCCGGAACACCCCUCGAGAGAGGUGACGUAGUGUGUAAGAAACUCUUCCGCUCCUGGAAAUAAUUAAUACAGAAGGGAACCAGAUUCACUUGAAAAGACCAGGAAGUUUGCAAAACGGGUAGACGAAGCAUCAAACUGACUUUAAUUUGCCCUCAAGAGGAGAAGAAAAGCAUCUAAGGAGUUCGAAGAAAGUGGAAAUGGGACUAAAGAUGAAAGCGAUGAUGGACCAGUCAUUCUACAGAUGAUAGACCCGAGGAUCGAGUCCAACCCCUGCCGACAUUUAUAAUUUUCUCAGGGCAAAGGUCUCUUGAGG